rnacentral:rRNA from 1 species
UACAGGGGGGGCAAGCGUUGUUCGGAAUUACUGGGCGUAAAGGGUCUGUAGGUGGCUUGCUAAGUCAGACGUGAAAUCCCUCAGCUUAACUGGGGAACUGCGUCUGAUACUGGCAAGCUUGAGUGCAGGAGAGGGUAGUGGAAUUCCGAGUGUAGCGGUGAAAUGCGUAGAGACUCGGAAGAACACCAGUGGCGAAGGCGGCUACCUGGACGGGUACUGACGCUGCAGCGCGAAAGCUAGGGGAGCAAACAGG